UGAUGACAAUCUCUGGAAUUUCUGUAUUUGCCUGAAGAAUGCAUUGAACCCUUUUUGUCUGACUGUUCCUAAAUC